GAUGGAAGAACGUAGCGAAAUGCGAUAAGUAAUGUGAAUUGCAGAAUUCAGUGAAUCAUCGAAUCUUUGAACGCACAUUGCGCCCCCUGGUAUUCCGGGGGGCAUGCCUGUCCGAGCGUCAUUACAACCCUCAAGCUCAGCUUGGUGUUGGGCCCCGCCGCCCCGGCGGGCCCUAAAGUCAGUGGCGGUGCCGUCCGGCUCCGAGCGUAGUAAUUCUUCUCGCUCUGGAGGUCCGGUCGUGUGCUCGCCAGCAACCCCCAAUUUUUUUCAGGUUGACCUCGGAUCAGGUAGGGAUACCCGCUGAACUUAAGCAUAUCAAUAAGCGGAGGA
rnacentral:misc_RNA from 1 species